UGUAAGCGGGACAGUCAUUUUUACGCCUCCAAAUUUUACUUUUUCUGAAUAAUAUUGAGUUAAAUUAGGGAAGUUGAUCCAUUAAUUCAUUUUAUGAGAAAUUUUUCCGUUGUGUGAAUUUUUCCUUCUUACUAUCAACUAGUUUUUCGAAUUGAGUUACCAAAAUGCUCCCGGCGUCACCCACAUCUAAGGAAUAUCUGUCAACUGUAACAACAUCUUCUCCUGAUAAAUAUGAAAUAAUGGGUAAGAUAACAGAGGGUGCUUAUGGAAUGAUUCUUAAAGCCUAUAAUAAAGAAGAUAAAAAUGCAGGGUUUUUCGCAAUAAAAACGAAUCGCCACAAAGGAUACGAAGGAGUUGUCACAGUCAAUGAUUAUAUUGAAGUAAAAGCUCUGAUGAAACUGAAGAAUGAAAGAAACAUAGUGCGUCUGAUCGAAUUAGUGCAGGAUGAAGAAAGAUUCGGUAUGGUCUUGGAGCUUUGCAAAACAGAUAUUGGAGAUAUUUUGCAUAACAGAAGAAUUCCAUUGCCAAUGUGUGAUAUAAAACUCAUCCUCAAAGAAAUACUGACCGGAGUCCGUGCUAUUCACAGACAAAACAUCUUUCAUCGGGAUAUAAAGCCACAAAACAUACUUCUUUCUUUGGAUGGCACUGUGAAAAUCACAGAUUUUGGAAAUUCAAUGGAUAAAGGUAUGGAAGAAUACGAUCCGAAUUGUUGUACAAUAUGGUAUAAAAGCCCUGAACUUUGCUUUGGCCAUACACAUUAUAAUGAGAAGAUAGAUAUCUGGAGUGUCGGAUGUUUGGCAGUGGAGUGUUGGAAACGUACCAUCUUCUUCCGUGGAGAAGAUGACAUGACCCACAUGGAAAAGGUCUCCGAAGUGUGUGGAUUCUGCGACGAGUCCGAAUGGCCUGAAGUGAAAGAAUUCCCCAACUACGCGCAAAUGAGUGAGGCAUUCGGCAGCAAAUUCAAGGAGAAUAAACUUGAGACCUGUCUAAUACAUUUGACACGUCACACGGGAGCAGCCAAGUUUUUGUGCAAAUUGAUCAAGCUGACCCCGUCAAAACGACUGACCGCUGCUGAAGCACUUGACGACCCUUUCUUCCAGUCUGUACCGGCACCGUCCAAUGAUCUCUCCAAUGUUAUCGCCGCCCUCAACAACCUGCAACUCCCAGGCGUCGAAUAGAGAUGCAUUCCUGUUUUCGUUGAUAUUAUCUGGACUACCUACCGUUUUCAAGUUUGACACCAUCAUCUAUAGAAUUAAGUACACCUACCAGACUUCAAGUGUCACACAGCAAUAAUUGAGAGCAAUUUCAAAGACUGGACAAUUUCAUAAAGUUCCUACAUCGAACAUAAUUUUAAGCAUAAUUAAACCUAUUGAAAUUGAAAAUUGUAAAUUAAGAGUUUUUUAAAUGUUAAAUUUCCAAAAUCUUGUUCGUACAGUUCAAUACCAUACAUUAUUUUUGAUAUUAGUGACUAAGACAAUGGACAAAAUUAUUAUUACCUACAUGGAGAAUAUAGUGUUAUGAUAAUUAUUGCCGUGUGAUACCAGUGACUUUCUGUGAUUUAGAUAUGAUUACCAAGAAGAUAAUUAUUAGAAGAUUGUUACCUAGAUGGAGGAGAUAGUGUUGUGAUAUUACCAUGGGUUGCCAGUAGAUUUCUGUGAUCUACAUGUUAUAUAAGAGAGAAAUGAGUUAAAAGAUCUGGAACUAUAAUAAAGUGAUUAUAGUGUGUAGUGUGAUGGUUUAUAGUAUAGAAAAAGAAGUGUUAUAUGCGGUAGGUAGUGGAUAUUUAUAAUAGUUUUGUUGUUUAUUUGAGUUCAUGUUCUUUGUUUGUUUUCUGGAGUUAUUUAAAAUAACUCAAAAUUUGUUUUUUGUUACAUUUGAAAUGAAUUAAGUUAGAUGAACGUUCGUGAAAAGUUCCUAUCAAUAAUUCAGAAAUUUGUUCAAGAUAAAAUAACAAAAUUUGUACUUUGUUGCUUUUGAAAUCAAUUGAGGUGGCUGAACUUUGUACUUUGUUGCUUUUCAAAUUAAUUAUGUUAGAUGAAUUACGUUCCUGAAAAGGGUUACUACCAAAAUAUCUGUUAUAAAAUAACAAAAUUUGUUCUUUGUUGCAUUCGAAAUGAAUUAAGUUAGAUGAAAAGGGUUGCUACUAAAAAAUCAGAAAUUUGUUCAAUAUA